rnacentral:rRNA from 1 species
AUUGAACGCUGGCGGCAUGCUUUACACAUGCAAGUCGAACGAGUGGCGAACGGGUGAGUAAUAUAUCGGAACGUACCGAGUAAUGGGGGAUAACCAAUCGAAAGAUUGGCUAAUACCGCAUAUUAUUCGAGCGGCCGAUAACGUAUUAGCUAGUUGGUGGGGUAAAGGCCUACAAAGGCCACGAUCAGUAGCGGGUCUGAGCGGGCGAUCCGCCACCGUGGGAGUGAGACACGGCCCAGACUCCUACGGGAGGCGGCAGUGGGGAAUUUUGGACAAUGGGGGCAACCCUGAUCCUGCCAUGCCGCGUGUAUGAAGAAGGCCUGCGGGUUUUAAAGUACUUUUGUUAGGGAAGCGGUACCUAAAGAGUAAGCACCGGCUAACUACGUGCCAGCAGCCGCGGUAAUUC